CAGUCCGUAGGGGUGGAGUCAGGCAGCAGUACGCCUGGAAAUUGACGUCGAGUGAUAGGAUGCAGCCAAUGUGGUGGUAAAGUCAUCAGGCUAAUCUAGCGAGUCGGAUAACAGUACCGUGAGGAAAGUUGAAAGUACUUUGAGGAGAGAGUAAACAGUGCGGGAACCGAUCAGAGGUAACGGGUGGAGUGAGCUGCGAGCUCGAGAAUUCAGCUGGUGAGUGUGUUUGAGCUUUGUCUAGUCAGUGAGUCUGCCAGUGUUCUGUGAGGCACUUAUCAUGUGUUGGGACACGGUGGUCUUCGGGCUGACUCGCGCAGUGCACUUUCUCAGAGUGGUCACCACGACCGACAUUGCUGUCUGGAUGGUGGGGUUAAUCCGGUUUUGCAUGGUCCCCGUGGCUAUGAUUGAUCGUGACGGCAGGUAGCUCGUUGACUUGCACAUGGUUCGAUGUGUGUGUGGUGUUGGAGUGUAAUCAGCUGACCACAUCGGUUCUGUGCGGUAUGUGGGAGACGGCGGCUAGUGCUAGCGCGUGGUUAGUUGGUAGGCGGGUCCGAGUUUGGUUAUUACGUAGCCUGUUUGUGCAGGCAUGAUAAUGGCUAGGAUUCGUUCGGUUGACUGGUGCGUGCGAGUGCAAUAUGGGGCCCAUAUUCUGUGGCGUAGUGGUAACUAUCCUCCUGACCCGUCUGGAAACACGGACCAAGGAGAGUAACAUGUGCGUAGAGUCAUUGGGUAUUACGAAACGUAAAGGCGCAGUGAAAGAUAAGGUCGGGUUUGUCUAGAGAGAGGGGAGAUCCUGUGGUGUCGUUGGCAGUCCUACCAAGCAUCGAGCGGCAGGCGCAUCACCGGUCCGUCCCAUGACAAUUGUCUUCGACAGUACUCAGUCGGGGCGGAGCAUGAGCGUACAUGUUGAGACCAGAAAGAUGGUGAACUAUGCUUGCGCAGGUUGAAGCCAGAGGAAACUCUGGUGGAGGACCGAAGCGGUUUGACGUGCAAAUCGAUCUCCAGA
rnacentral:rRNA from 1 species